rnacentral:rRNA from 1 species
UACGUAGGUGGCAAGCGUUGUCCGGAUUUACUGGGCGUAAAGAGCGCGCAGGCGGUCGUUCAAGUCGCGUGUGAAAGCCCCCGGCUCAACUGGGGAGGGUCACGCGAUACUGAUCGACUCGAAGGCAGGAGAGGGUAGUGGAAUUCCCGGUGUAGUGGUGAAAUGCGUAGAUAUCGGGAGGAACACCAGUGGCGAAGGCGACUACCUGGACCAGCACCGACGUUCAGGCACGAAAGCGUGGGGAGCAAACAGG